rnacentral:rRNA from 1 species
GGAUGCGAUCAUAACCAGCACUAAUGCACCGGAUCCCAUCAGAACUCCGAAGUUAAGCGUGCUUGGGAGUAGUACUAGGAGGGUGACCCCUGGGAAGUCCUCGUGUUGCAUCCC